GACGAACGCUGGCGGCGUGCUUAACACAUGCAAGUCGAACGGUAAGGCCCCAGCUUGCUGGGGUACACGAGUGGCGAACGGGUGAGUAACACGUGGGUGACCUGCCCCGCACUUCGGGAUAAGCCUGGGAAACUGGGUCUAAUACCGGAUAGGACCGCACCGUGAGGGUGUGGUGGAAAGUUUUUCGGUGUGGGAUGGGCCCGCGGCCUAUCAGCUUGUUGGUGGGGUAAUGGCCUACCAAGGCGGCGACGGGUAGCCGGCCUGAGAGGGUGGACGGCCACAUUGGGACUGAGACACGGCCCAGACUCCUACGGGAGGCAGCAGUGGGGAAUAUUGCACAAUGGGCGGAAGCCUGAUGCAGCGACGCCGCGUGGGGGAUGACGGCCUUCGGGUUGUAAACUCCUUUCACCAUCGACGAAGGUUUUCUGACGGUAGAUGGAGAAGAAGCACCGGCUAACAACGUG
rnacentral:rRNA from 1 species